rfam:Cucumis melo, WGS project CAJI01000000 data, contig: 03559
UUCAAGAUGAUGAGGCCUUUUGAGGUGAAGCUAUGAUGUGCUUACCCAUUUCAUGCUACGCCUUCAAAGUUAUCUGAUUGUU